rnacentral:rRNA from 1 species
CCUACGGGAGGCAGCAGUAGGGAAUAUUGCUCAAUGGGGGAAACCCUGAAGCAGCAACGCCGCGUGGAGGAUGAAGGUUUUCGGAUUGUAAACUCCUUUUGUUAGAGAAGAUAAUGACGGUAUCUAACGAAUACUCACCGGCUAACUCCGUGCCAGCCGCCGCGGUCAUACGGAGGGUGCAAGCGUUACUCGGAAUCACUGGGCGUAAAGAGCGCGUAGGCGGGAUAGCAAGUCAGAUGUGAAAUCCUAUGGCUUAACCAUAGAACUGCAUUUGAAACUGUUAUUCUAGAGUAUGGGAGAGGUAGGUGGAAUUCUUGGUGUAGGGGUAAAAUCCGUAGAGAUCAAGAGGAAUACUCAUUGCGAAGGCGACCUGCUAGAACAUAACUGACGCUGAUGCGCGAAAGCGUGGGGAGCAAACAGGAUUAGAUACCCGUGUAGUC